rnacentral:lncRNA from 1 species
GGCCAACUUCAAUGUUUGAAUUUUUCAUUCAAACUCCUAACCGGUCAGCAGCCCACCGCUUGCACCGCUUCAGCAUGUUGCAAAGAGUCCUGAUCAGAUCCCAACUCUUUCCCCACGCGUUCAGCAAAAAUCCCAACCUUACGUGCGCGAGAUGAGGCUCGAACCCCAGACCUCCGUCCGCCCUACGCCUUCGCCCGAGCUGCUGGCCACUGCACCAUGCUUCUUCUUUU